rnacentral:rRNA from 1 species
GAUCCUGGCUCAGGAUGAACGCUAGCGACAGGCCUAACACAUGCAAGUCGAGGGGCAGCGGAGAGGUAGCAAUACCUUUGCCGGCGACCGGCGCACGGGUGAGUAACACGUAUGCAAUCCACCUGUAACAGGGGGAUAACCCGGAGAAAUCCGGACUAAUACCCCAUAAUAUGGGCGUUCCGCAUGGAGAGCUCAUUAAAGAGAGCAAUUUUGGUUACAGACGAGCAUGCGCUCCUA